rnacentral:rRNA from 1 species
AGAUUGAACGCUGGCGGCAUGCCUUACACAUGCAAGUCGAACGCGAAAGCGGGGCAACCCGCAAGUAGAGUGGCGAACGGGUGAGUAAUACAUCGGAACAUAUCCAGUAGCGGGGGAUAACCUGUCGAAAGAUAGGCUAAUACCGCAUACGAUCUACGGAUGAAGCGGGGACCGCAAGGCCUCGCACUAUUGGAGUGCCGAUGUCGAUUAGCUAGUUGGUAGGGUAAAGCCUACAAGGCAACGAUCUAGUACGCGUAGUCUGAGACGGAACCGACCACGCCAACACGUAGGAAC